GGGUAAUGGCACGGGGACCCACCAGCUUGUCUGCCGCCAUCUGGGGUACAGUGCUGGAAGCGGGGAUACAGGGACAAAUAAGACACAGAUCCUGUUCCUAAAGAGGCUGGAGUGCAAUGGCAUGAUCUCAGCUCACUGCAACCUCUGCCUCCCGGGUUCAAGCAAUUCUCCUGUCUCAGCCUCCUGAGUAGCUGGAUUACAGAGAAACACAGAGGAGAGACCCAGAGAGAAGGAGAAGGCCGCAUGAAGAUGGAGCAGAGACUGGAGUUAUUCAGCCAAGUCAAGGAAUGCCUGGAGCACCAGAAGCCGGAAGAGGCAAGGAAGGAUCCUCCCUUAGAGCAUUUGGAAGAGUGUGGCCCUGCCAACACCUUGACUUCAAACUUCUGGCCUCCAUAACUAUGAAAUAAAUUCUUGUUGUUUUAA
rnacentral:lncRNA from 1 species